UAGCAUAUCAAUAAGCGGAGGAAAAGAAACCAACAGGGAUUGCCCCAGUAACGGCGAGUGAAGCGGCAACAGCUCAAAUUUGAAAUCUGGUCCUUGUGGCCCGAGUUGUAAUUUGUAGAGGAUGCUUUUGGUGCGGUGCCUUCCGAGUUCCCUGGAACGGGACGCCAUAGAGGGUGAGAGCCCCGUCUGGUUGGAUACCAAGCCUCUGUAAAGCUCCUUCGACGAGUCGAGUAGUUUGGGAAUGCUGCUCUAAAUGGGAGGUAUAUGUCUUCUAAAGCUAAAUAUUGGCCAGAGACCGAUAGCGCACAAGUAGAGUGAUCGAAAGAUGAAAAGCACUUUGAAAAGAGGGUUAAAUAGUACGUGAAAUUGUUGAAAGGGAAGCGUUUGUGACCAGACUUGGGCCCGGUUAAUCAUCCAGCGUUCUCGCUGGUGCACUUGGCCGGCCCAGGCCAGCAUCAGCUUUCGGCGGGGGAAAAAGGCGGCGGGAAUGUAGCUCCUCGGAGUGUUAUAGACCGCCGCAUAAUACCCUGCUGGGGGCUGAGGUUCGCGCAUCUGCAAGGAUGCUGGCGUAAUGGUCAUCAACGACCCGUCUUGAAACACGGACCAAGGAGUCGUCUUCGUAUGCGAGUGUUCGGGUGUCAAACCCCUACGCGUAAUGAAAGUGAACGCAGGUGAGAGCUUCGGCGCAUCAUCGACCGAUCUUGAUGUUCUCGGAUGGAUUUGAGUAAGAGCAUACGGGGCCGGACCCGAAAGAAGGUGAACUAUGCCUGUAUAGGGUGAAGCCAGAGGAAACUCUGGUGGAGGCUCGCAGCGGUUCUGACGUGCAAAUCGAUCGUCAAAUAUGGGCAUGGGGGGCGAAAGACUAAUUGAACCUUCUAGUAGCUGGUUUCCCCA
rnacentral:rRNA from 1 species